AGCACAUUUUGCAUGGUGAAAACAUUAGAUGAAGAGAGGCACUUUGAAGAGAAGGGAGACCUAUAAAAAUACUUGGCUAAAAUAUGUACAUAUUUUUAAAUAAAAAUUUGAAUUUAAGAUAUUCUUUAUAAUAAUUCUCACUGAGUUUAACAGGUAUAUCACUAAUUGUAGAAAGAUUGUUUUCCUGAUUAAAAAUAGAAUAUGCUGAAAAGAGUCAACUGAGAAAAUCAAUAUAGGCAAAUAUUAAUUAUAAAAUUUAAGCAUGACCAGGAUUGUGGGAAAUGCACUGAAGUUUUUAAAUGAGAUCUUCUUUAAAAAUAUAUUCUUCAGAAAAAAUAUCUCUGACAUGAGAUUAAAGAACACAUGAGGUUAAGAAUCUGAUAAAAGAACAUGGAUGUAUACAAAGAGCUAUCAUUCUUCAAGAGUUUAUAGCCAAUAUAAAGAUUUUAUCUUUUUUAAAGACACUUUGGUACUUAUGAACUUUUGGAAUUUUAAUUUGCAUAAAAUAUUUUAUUUAAAAUGAGUUUUUGACUAGAACCAUUGUAGUAAAUAAAACCAUUACUUGUUUUAAAUGGAACUGUUGUUUUACUAGAAUCAUUACUUUUUAACUAUACCAUUGUAUAGGCAUAGUGAGAAAAUAAAGCUAAUCAUCAGCCAAUAUAAAA
rnacentral:lncRNA from 1 species